rnacentral:rRNA from 1 species
CCUACGGGGCGCAGCAGUGGGGGAUAUUGCACAAUGGGGGAAACCCUGAUGCAGCGACGCCGCGUGAGUGAAGAAGUAUUUCGGUAUGUAAAGCUCUAUCAGCAGGGACGAAAAUGACGGUACCUGAGUAAGAAGCCCCGGCUAACUACGUGCCAGCAGCCGCGGUAAUACGGAGGAUGCGAGCGUUAUCCGGAUUUGUUGGGUUUAAAGGGUGCGUAGGCGGACGCUUAAGUCAGCGGUAAAAUUGCGGGGCUCAACCUCGUCGAGCCGUUGAAACUGGGUGCCUUGAGUGGGCGAGAAGUACG